GGCAAAUCACAGGAGUACUGUAGGGCAAGGCAAAACAGGCAAGACGUUUAAAGCUGUGUUUGUAUCCUAAUUCCAUUGGCUAAAACAAGUCUCAUGACCAGCCACACCAUCAAUAAAACAGCAUAAUCUACUCUGUUCACACUUAGAGAUAUUAUGAAGUUAACUGGAAAAUGUAUGUGGAUGUAAAAUUCUAAUAUACGAAAAGUGUAGAGAAGUAGUGUGUCCGGAAUUGGUGGGUUCUUGCUCUCACUGACUUCAAGAAUGAAGCCACGGACCCUCAUGGUGAGUGUUACAGCUCUUAAGGCAGCACAUCUGGAGUUGUUCGUUCCUCCACUCGUCGUCUCACUGGCUUCAGGAGUGAAGCUGCAGACCUUCGCGGCCCAACAGUUUCCUUGCUCAGCGAGGCCUCUCCUUGGCUCUGAAGCAUGUGAUUGAUACUUCUCCACUCCAUCUCUGCCACAUCCUCCGUCUCGACUGUGGGCCAAGCCUUUGUUGAGGAGUUACCUCACUCACCAUCACAGUGGACCCCAUCUCAGGCUCGUGGGAUUGACGUCCACUGAAGGUGCCCUUGCUUCACAAGAACUAAGGGAGAUUCAGGAGUUUUAUCCCUCCUCCUCUCUCCCUGAUGCUACUCCACCCUCUUAACUAUGCUGACCCCGCUUAACUAGCGGUCUCCUCACAGAAUCCAAAAUGAGAAUGAUAAGAAUCCUCUAAACUUGGUGCUCCCUUCAACUAUUAGAAGACAUUUUUUUUCCUCCCAGGCUCAAUCUUGGAAAAAACUACAGGCCAAUUUCCUGAGUGCUUUCUGCCAUCGGUUCAGCUGGCCUCUGGCUCUGUUCUUUCCACAAUUUCUUAGUCUAGAAAAGUUUGAAUUAUUUCUUCUCUCACCUUGUUUGAUCUUUCCUUUCAUGAAACUUUGUUCAGUGACUAGUCCCCCAAGUCUUGCAUGGGAUCAAUGUUUU
rnacentral:lncRNA from 10 species